rnacentral:rRNA from 1 species
GACGAACGCUGGCGGCGUGCUUAACACAUGCAAGUCGAACGGAAAGGCCCUGCUUUUGUGGGGUGCUCGAGUGGCGAACGGGUGAGUAACACGUGAGUAACCUGCCCUUGACUUUGGGAUAACUUCAGGAAACUGGGGCUAAUACCUGAUAGGAGCUCCUGCUGCAUGGUGGUGGUUGGAAAGUUUCGGCGGUUGGGGAUGGACUCGCGGCUUAUCAGCUUGUUGGUGGGGUAGUGGCUUACCAAGGCUUUGACGGGUAGCCGGCCUGAGAGGGUAACCGGCCACAUGGGGACUGAGAUACGGCCCAGACUCCUACGGGAGGCAGCAGUGGGGAAUAUUGCACAAUGGGCGGAAGCCUGAUUCAGCAACGCCGCGUGCGGGAUGAAGGCCUUCGGGUUGUAAACCGCUUUCGCCUGUGACGAAGCGUGAGUGACGGUAAUGGGUAAAGAAGCACCGGCUAACUACGUG